rnacentral:rRNA from 1 species
AUGGCAUAUGCUCGCUUCGUAUGUGUGGGGCAAAUCCUGAUAGGUAGGGGUAUGAUGGUACCAUGUAUGACUGUCUAUGCAUCAUAUUUUCCUUCCCUGAGUUCUCUCAAUCACAUUUUGGGUGACCAGAAAAUGGCAAACGUACCAGGCAUGAGAGAGAGAGAGAGAGAGAGAGAGAGAUAUGGUCUGCUAGAUCUUUCUGAUAGGCCUAAAUGUACUACUGCGUCACCGAUGAUCGGGGAUUCCAUCUCUAAUCUUUUGCAGAAAAGGAAUGCACGGUUGAUGGACGGCAGAGGGGUGCUCAUGUGGAUCGCACAACGGGGCCCCAACCCCAGAGGGCGAGAAUAUAUGAUUGGAGCUGUACACUGGUAUGUACCAGCAGCGUUAUUGCACCCAAGAUACUUGACUUUAAGUGGUGAUGAUGUGCUAACGUUGCCGGGUGCCCAACAGAAGUGA